rnacentral:piRNA from 1 species
UGCACUUUGGUUGUCCUUCUCCUUGAGCUU